rnacentral:rRNA from 1 species
CCUACGGGAGGCAGCAGUGAGGAAUAUUGGUCAAUGGGCGGAAGCCUGAACCAGCCAAGCAGCGUGCAGGAUGACGGCCCUACGGGUUGUAAACUGCUUUUAUACGGGAAUAACGCGCCUUACGUGUAGGGCUUUGCAUGUACCGUAUGAAUAAGGACCGGCUAAUUCCGUGCCAGCAGCCGCGGUAAUACGGAAGGUCCGGGCGUUAUCCGGAUUUAUUGGGUUUAAAGGGAGCGUAGGCGGCAUGUCAAGCGUGCUGUGAAAUGUGCGGGCUCAACCCGGGCCUUGCAGCGGGAACUGGGGGGCUUGAGUGCGCGGAAGGCAGGCGGAAUUCGUCGUGUAGCGGUGAAAUGCUUAGAUAUGACGAAGAACCCCGAUUGCGAAGGCAGCUUGCUGCAGCGGAACUGACGCUGAUGCUCGAAAGCGCGGGUAUCGAACAGGAUUAGAUACCCGAGUAGUC